UACGUAGGGUGCGAGCGUUGUUCGGAAUUACUGGGCGUAAAGGGCUCGUAGGCGGCCAACUAAGUCAUACGUGAAAUCCCUCGGCUUAACCGGGGAACUGCGUCUGAUACUGGAUGGCUUGAGAUUGGGAGAGGGAUGCGGAAUUCCAGGUGCAGCGGUGAAAUGCGCAGAUAUCGGGAGGAACACCAGUGGCGAAGGCGGCACUCUGGGCCGGAACUGACGCUGAGGAGCGAAAGCGUGGGGAGCGAACAGG
rnacentral:rRNA from 1 species